UCACGGUGGGUAGUAACAUAUGUGAUGUAUCAUGCAUCACUUUAUUAAUUAGGUUGUAGACUCAUCUAUUCUUGAUAUGUGUGAUAUUACAGUAACUAGCUAUGUUAUUACAUGCCUCUCUUUUUUUAUUAAUUACAUACCACAUCAUUUAUUUUGUCUAGAUAAGUGUGAUAUUAUCACCUAUGUUACUUUCAUUGUGGGUAGUUUUAGGGACCGUCUGGUUAUAGAGGUGGAAGGUGAAUACAAAACGGGUCAACCGGUCAAGGCAUCCACCUUUUGGAGAUCAUCUAUAUGUUUUGGUGGAAUAGCGGACAAGUUUCCAGUGCAUGUGUAUUUUCAGAAUAAUCCAUAGCGUUAGUGUGGCUGGAAAUUAUGGUCAAACUGGAGUUCACACUUCCAUGAUUUGGAAUGGGAAACUUCCAAUGGAGAAGCCACGUUUAACCCACGAUUCGCCCAUUCCUAUUGGUGAUUUAUGCAAAGCAAAAUAAUUUUGCUAAUGGAUUGAAUGGGCUGAAAGUGAAAGCCGACAAAAUGCUCUCAAAACCGAUUCACUUGAGUAUACAUAAUCCAUGGCAUUAGUAUGCCUGGAAACUAUGGUCAAACUGGCGUUCACACUUCUAUGAUUUGGAGAUGAGAAACUUUCAAUGGAGAAGCCACGUUUAACCAACGGGGUCCAUUGCUGCCGGUGGUUUAUGCAAACCAGAUAUUCCCUUCCGUUCAUAUUAAUUGUCACUAUUUUAGUAUAACUUUUACAGCAUAUGAUACAAGAUAGAUGUUUAUAUACAUGACCGACACUUACCCUUAUGGACAAAUGCACACACUUGACCCCUAAAAGCAUCUCCGAGAGGAUGAGCUGGUAAGAAAGUACGAACACCUAUGUAAAGUUUAUGACUUGAAUCCAAAUGGACUGGUUCUACCAUAAAAAACCUAACCAACCAAGCGUCAAACUAUUUUUGUUGAUAGAUCAACAUACAUAAGUCUCGAAGCAUUUAGAUGCAUCGGUCACGCACAAAGCCGCACAAGAUAUAGCCAAUAUGUUUCUUUUAAAGGAGGAUUACCCGUGAACUCUGGAUCAAAUUGAUGCAUGCAACCAUAUUAUUAAGUAAGGAGUCAACAUGUUUUAAUUUCAGUACAAGCUCACAAGUAGAGCUGAAAUGAAGAACGAACAAGAAGUGCCACAACAGGCAAAAAUAAAACAAGAUGACUAAAUACCUAUCCUAUUAUUGGAUCGUCAUCCAAACAUGUUGUAAGUAUCAUGUGCUACCGUCUUCCAACGAUUGCAACCAAAAGCCAUAUGCUCCUUGGCUUUUGCAUAGCUGAGUGACGACCACGUAUGGAUCCAAACAGUUGCUCUCUAGAUUUCACUGAGAAAACCCCCAACACUGAGACUUUUCAGUGAAGCGUAUCAGGCUCAUCAGAAAGGUUAACCUCCAUCAAUCUGCGCACAAGAUGUAGGGAACUAUCCCAUCUGUCCCCAUUAGGGACCUUCGGAACUAAUAAAGGGACCGACCCUAAUAUUGUACUUAUGAACGCUUCUUGCGCUAGGCGGUGUUGUAGAUGGAUGGAUAUUAUGUGGCUAGUGGUGUAUCCGCUAAUCAUGUAUCUUUUCAGAAUCUAGUCAUGGUGUCAUUCCCCACGAUAAAUUUUGUCUUAUUGAAAAAGGCUACUUUCAUCCUCAUCAGCCCCUUCCAGAACAGUGAAUCGUUCUGUUGUACCGUAACAUGUGCUAGGGUGUUGGAUUGCAAGUACUUACUACGCAAUAUUUGGACCCACAUUCCGUCGUCCUCGACAGAUAGCCUGUACAGCCAUUUACUGAGCAGGCACCUGUUUUUUACCUCUAGAUUCUCAGUCCCUAGCCUCCCUUAGUCCUUCAGCCUACAGAUUAUAUCCUACUUGGCCAACCUAUACUUGGUUUUAAUCUCGCCGCAUUGCCAGAAAAGCGUGCUCGAUAAAAGUCUAACAUUUUCCGUACCCCCACGGGUACUUCAAAGAAAGAUAAUACAAAUAUCGACAUGCUUGUAAGCACCGAAUUUAUCAGAAUCAACCUACCCCAUAAGACAUGAGCUUGCCCUUCCAGCAGCUUAGCUUCUUCUCAAAUCUAUUCUCAAUGCGCUUCCAUUCCUUGUUGGUCAAUUUUCGAUGAUGAAUUGGUAUUCCCAUAUAACUAAAUAGUAGAGAUCUCAAUUCACAUCCGAACAACUGUCUAUAAGUUUCUUGUUCUUCUUUGGCAUGCCCAAAAAAGAACGGUUCGCUCUUGUUGAAUUUGAUCUUACCCCGACAGUUAUUUGAAAAGACAUAGUACAAGUUUCAUAUUUCUAGCCUUUGCCGAAUCAUGUUCCAUGAGAAGAGUUGUAUCAUCGGCAUAUUGUAGUAUGGAGACACCAUCAUCAACAAGAUGAUGUACCAAUCCACCCACCUGGCCGUCCACUUUGGCCCGACCGAUAAGAACUACCAGCAUAUCUACCAAUAUUUACCUGAUCCAUACACUACACAACCAAAGAGAGAAAAUCCUUAACAAAAAAUAGAGAAGUGAUUAGACAAGACCAGCUCAAACAUGUAGGAAGCAUAAACACCAACCAACACGAAAGAGAGGGGCAAGGUGUCAAACACGGGACUGAAUAGACGGAAGGAAGCAGGCAGCAAGGCAAAAGAGGCCCUGCCAGGAGGAGUUGCUUUGGAGUUUGGAAACCGAAACUGCUGAACAGAAGGAUGUUUUCUUUACUUGGACUACUAAAGAAGGAGAAGGUGCAAAAUCUUAAUUGCAAAGUAGGUACUAACAAUCUGCUCCUAAAAGCUAAAGCAAUAAUGGCCUAGAUCCUCAGUAAACGGUACAAGUGCCCCCACUUCCCCGAUCACUGCAAGAUUCAAGCGUGCACUUGUUAUGUGCCCCUACAUGAUUCCUGCAUAAUGUAUUCCAGUUUAUCACAAUGUAAAGCAAUCCAGCCGGAAAAGGGACAGAACAGAUCAAUGGAAGUUUCUUCUUCCACCCAAUCAUCUUGUCCCCCGCCUUUACGGGCAACCCUCCAUGGAACAACCCAGGCAUCCACCCAUCAGCCCCAGAGCAAAAGGCCUAAGCAUANNNNNNNNNNNNNNNNNNNNNNNNNNNNNNNNNNNNNNNNNNNNNNNNNNNNNNNNNNNNNNNNNNNNNNNNNNNNNNNNNNNNNNNNNNNNNNNNNNNNNNNNNNNNNNNNNNNNNNNNNNNNNNNNNNNNNNNNNNNNNNNNNNNNNNNNNNNNNNNNNNNNNNNNNNNNNNNNNNNNNNNNNNNNNNNNNNNNNNNNNNNNNNNNNNNNNNNNNNNNNNNNNNNNNNNNNNNNNNNNNNNNNNNNNNNNNNNNNNNNNNNNNNNNNNNNNNNNNNNNNNNNNNNNNNNNNNNNNNNNNNCCUGGUGUCGUUGUCCCGGCAAAAGAUUCGCCGGGGAGCUUUUGUUUAGUCUGAUGCGCAUGUAUGGCUUAAUACAAGCUUUAGUCAACUUGAGAAGCCUGCCGUGGAAAGGAAUGCAGUAGAGUUUGUCUGAGUCCGCGCCACGGCGACGCGUCUAUGCUCACUCUUCGGUUACUGUCAUAGGCCCGUUCUCUAGAACUUGAACUCUUUCUUUUUUGACUAACUAGUGGAGUAAAACUUAACUCUUUUAUUUCUAAAGAAAGUUGAAGGGGGUUGAGAGGCUUGGAAUUAGACCUACCCCUAAAUAUUCCAAAAAAGUAAGUUUCUUUUGCUAAUUCACAAAUUAUUUUUGCAUAAAAAAUCCACAACAAAGAUAUUUUUCACAUUAUUGCAGAGAAAAUGGAAAGAACAAGGGAAAUGAAAAAUAAUUGCAUUUGGCCAUUUCGUUGAACCCCAUGCAUGUGUUGCCGGCCAGAGGCCGCACUACCUAGAGGGGGGCGUGAGGUUGCACGGCCUGAAGCUCCUCGGGUCGAGGGGGCGGGGGGUGAUAGGCAGCAGUGUGGCAAGGAAUGGGCUAGAACGACGUGGCCAAAGAAAUCAACAACAGCGAAGGUGGGGUUGGGGAAGGAAACUUCCUCCGACCUCUUUUUAGAGGGAAAGGAGGAGUAAAACCUGCUGCUCUACUAUAGGAACAACCCGCAAAAAGUUUGACAUGUAUGUUUUGUAUUAUAUAGUUAUUAAAAGGUUAUAGGCGAAGUGUGAGAUAUUUGUCGCUCCUAUAUUUUUAGCUUUUACAGAGUAAUAGAUUUUAGGAGAAGGGCUAGAGAUGCUUUGAGAAGUUUUAAGGGUGUCCCUAGCUGAACCCCUAAAAGGCUAACUCCUCAAAAGAUUUUGUUUUUAAGAGUUAAGCCACUCCUAGCUUUUAACUCCUCAAAAAGUUGAGGAGAACCCUCCGUCGGCUCUCAAAUUUGAGCGGCCACAACAAAUUCUCAACAAAAAUUCCUCCCAUGCGGUGCUUUCAUAUUGCUCGAUGCCCUUCACCCCGACGGGACUUUUCCCUGCCAACCACUUGGCACGCUCGUCGACACCCUGUCGUCCUCUCGGGCCAACUUAGAUUCGCUUGUCGGUGACGCCACUGCUGGAAUUACCCCAUAUCUACCAUGUCGUCGCUACGCUCUCAUUAACGAAAAAGGCCACCCUCGAGCUUGGUUUUGUGCACCCACGGAGGAUCUAGGCGGCACCAGACGUGCCUGCACUAGCGAAUUCUGAAAGCCGGAGUUUGACCGCGGUGAGCUUAGUCAGCCACCGGCGAGCACGGCUUGGAGGAGAUUCUUCCUCCUCAGAGCCUGCAGACCAUCCCACAACCCUCAUGUCCACCCAUAGCCUCGGUGUCACCUCAAUGUCGCCGGCCGAGGCUCUCACCUCAUCCGCCCGCAUAGCGUUGGAUGAAUUGCACAGGCAAGAUUUAUUUAUUUAUUUUGCUUUUUCAUUGUUCUUGCUGUUUGUUGCAAUCAAAUUCAACAUGGAAUAUUGUAUAGUGUAGAUGCAGUGGUUAAGGAAGAUGUUAUUUGAUGACUCUUCGUCCAAGGGGGGGGGGAACGAUGAUGAUUUUGAAAUGGCCAUUGUCGUGAUCGUCCAGGAGGACCUUCGGCGACCAAGACUAGGAUCAUAGUUCGAUCGCUCGUACAUCAAUUGAGGUAGAGCAGUGGGUUAUGCCAAGCUUAUGAAUGAUUACUUUGCGCCCAAUUCAACCUAUUUGGAGAAGUAUUUUCGGCGGCGAUUUUGGAUGCACCGAAGUCUCUUCAACACCAGUGCAAAAUUUAUUGUGGAGCAUGAUUCAGGGUUUAAACUGAGGAGGAGUGCAUCGAAAGAAAUAAGUGUGAUCCUUUUGAUGAAGUGUGUUGCAGAUGUUUGAGUACUUGCCUAUAGAUGAUCGACUGACAACAUUGAUGACUAUUUCCGCAUUGUGGAAGAUACAAUCCUAGAGGUCAUUCGAAGAUAAAUGCAAGUCAUGAUUGAGAUCUAUGGACCAGGGUACCAAGCACGACGUAUGUUUCCUCCUGGGCUUCUUCAGCAAUUACGUGGUUCAGACGAUCGAGCACGUUUCGGAGGACAUAGGUGAACCAUCGCCUUAGUCGAUGUUAGGCGAGGCAGCUUGGCUGCCCUCCAGGGUUCCUUGGAGCAAAUGUUGGUGGCGGGCUUUGAGCAUUGAAGUUGGCCUUGCCUCAUAAGUGGCGCCAGUGAAGGCAUUGGGGACACAAGAGAUCACUUCCAUUUGAUUGCAGGGUUGUUCCAGAGAGACCACCUUCAUCCUACACCUCCUACGAAUUGAUAAAACUUAGAGCAUCCGCUUUGGAAAUUUUUUUGUUGUCCUACAAAACUCUACGCUUAAAGGUCCAACAAAGUCUAUAAGAAUAAAUUUAUGUAGUAAACAUCAGGCUCUUUUUGGUGUCGUUGUCGGGGAGGUAAGUGCUUCAAGGUAUCUUCUUUAGAUCUUGCAAUUUUGUUUUUUACUUUCUUGUUUUUAUUGCACUACCUUGGUUUAAAAACAAAAUGAAAAUGAGUGCACUUGGUUAUCCUUACAAAGUUUAUCCUGAAAACAUUGAAUUUGAACCCAAAAAAUGAAGAUGUAUUUAAGGAAUAAUUUAAAGAGGUGAUUAAAUGUUAUUAGUAUGCUUUCCAUGAAUGUCAUUAAUGCUAAUGAUGGUUGCACUAGUCAUAAUAAAUUUCUGUGGAAAAGGUUAUAAGCGUGUCAAUUCUUGUGAAGAACAUAGACCUUGUGAAAGAAUGCAAAUUAGGAGUGACAAAUAUUGCAAGAAGCAUAGACAUGAUAGAGACUAGAGUGUGGCUUGAGAAUUUAGAUGAUUAUGCUAAAAAAAGUGUGCUCUUCAUCCCAUUACUUAUAAAUUAUGCAAUGCGUUGGUCAUCUUAAUUUCUAAUUUCCAAUGCAUAUAUUAUCAUGAUCGAAUCAUGGCCAAAUAUUGCGAUGACAUGAUCACCUUUGUAUCAUGAAGAUUUUUAGGGUGUGAAGAAUUAACACGUCAAAAUUGUUGGUUUGAAAAAUCCGUUCUCACAUAUUCAGUUAAAAAUAUUCUAAGGGAAAUCUUUAGGUAUUCUCACAUAUUCCUCCCUCCGCAUUUUCUGCAUCAUUCGAGCCUGGCUAAGGGAAACAAUCAAUUCGGUCGUUCCUAAUGAGAUGCUUUAAGAUUCAUGUUGUGCAUGCCAAACAGUUAAUACGGGCUAUCAAACGGACCACUUUUACACCGCACGGACCUAAUUGCGGGUAACCAAAUGCGCCAUUGACGCGAACCAACCGGUUAGAUGGUUAGGUGAAUAGUGGUAUCCCUAGCCCAUCAGGGUUCAAGUCUGAGACAUUUCUGUUGACUACGAGGCGCUCACGAUGACUUUAUAAAAUCUCAAGAUGAUAUGUCGACUCAGUCUCUCAGAGAUGCUCAUAUGGGUAGGAUGUGUGUGUGCGCGCGCGCGUUCAUUGAGGUGAGUAUAUGUGUAUAUAUGAGCGUUUGCGUUAUACUGUGUACAAACAAAGUCCCGAUUGUUUUGAUUUUUGAAAUGGGAUAUUUACGGAAUCCCAUUAAUAGGAUCAAACCUUAUUCCAUGAUAUUUUCAUAAGAUUCUUCUUCCUUCUAUUGAUUCUUUUCCGAUCAAAAUGUACGGAUCCAUGUAUCUACGUACAUAGAUUUUGUUCAUGGAUUAACGAAAAUGUUCAAUAGCUCUAUUUGCGUGUCAUUCUAUGAGUCGCUUCCUUUUUCGUAUCCCCACUCCCUUUGGUAACAUCUACUGAUUUUUUUAAGACAUAUUUCGACCCGGGCGUUUUUAAGAGGUUGUACUGAGACUGCUUUAAGGUUGAGGAACUGCCUUCUUCUGCUCCAUCUGAAGCUCUACAUAAGGGUAAGCUCGGACGGCCUGCUUGAAGAUGACGGCGUGGAGCAUGCAGCGACCGCUUGACGCCAUGAAACCAGACAUCAGCAUCCAACUCGGGAAGAUCUAGGAGGAGGAACUCACGGAUUGUUGUGGUGAUUGCCCUGGAGAGUGACGGUGGUGACAACAAACGACGGUACGCCACUGGUCAUUGCGCGGAUCUUGCAAGGGGGUUGUUUCUACGCUAGAUUAACCAAACAAUUUCCAUUUUUAGUUGAUACCAUUUACAGGACCAAAAUUUACGUUUGUGUUUCCUUUCCUAAAGGUUCUACAAGUACCCCAGUACCCCAGAGAAGUCGCCACAUGGCCUUGAAGAUAGUACGUUGACUAUGUUUCUUGGAAAAUUUGUGGCUCGCGAAGAAAUAAUUAUAUGAUUCAGGUGAUCAAUCUAUGGUUUUGAUUUGGUGUUUGUAAGUGUUGAUACAUUUCUCUACAAACUUGGUUAUAAAGUAUGUUUUUUGAAUAAUGCUAUAUAGAAUUUAAUUUGGCAAGGAGGGCGUAUAUUGUGUAAGCAUGUUUCAUGAUAUACCUAGUAAUACUAGUUUCCUAAUUUGUAUUCUAUGUAUGUCCAGAUGUUGUACGCAAGAAAGCAUAGCAUGUUUCACCCCUUUUAAUUUAGUUGAUCCAACUAAUGUUGAAAAAGUCACAAGAAAGAAAUGAAAGGAAAGGAGAAAACUAAUACCUUGACGAGCCUAUGCAGCUCCAUUUUUAUAUCUCAUAGAAGCAAUAUACCUAAUAUGCAUGCCAUCGUCUAUGUUGAAAACACUUGAAAAGAUUAAUGGUUGGUUCUUUGGCAUAUUAAAAUAAUAUAAGAGCACAAAAUAUUGCAUCACCUCCUUAUAAAGGGAGUAGAAUGAAGUAGAAUGAACCACAGGGGGGAGCAUAUUUUCUGCUAGGUCAGUUGACGAUAUAAGGAAAAAGUCAUGUUGUUGGAUAUUGCACUAUUAGGGGAGCAUGUGAAACCAGAGGCAAAAAGAUAUUGUUGUACCAAAUAGACCGUUCUGAUACACCAUUUUUUGGGGGGGAAUACGCUUAGCAGCAUAUCAUUUCAUUGAUAGAGGAGGAGAAAUAGAAGUUACAGGGAGUUACAGGGUGCACCCUCGCAGACGUACACAAGCCGGUGUCUGGGAGGGCGCAGCAAUGAGCAGAGGGAGAGGAUGCUCAGCCUCGAAGCAGGGGGUCAGGCUACAGGUAAGAUGCUAGCAAUCCCGGUGGCACCCGCCUUGGCCCAAAGGCGGGCAUCGUCCUUGAUGCUCUUGAUCAGGACCUCGGUGGAGGGGCGAAGGCCGUCGAAUAUGGCCGCAUAGCAAUGCUUCCAAAUUGCCCAGGCGGUCAGCGCGAUGAUGGAGUUGAGGCCUUUUCUCAAAGAGCCAGGGGAGGCCUCCGCGGCCGCGGUCCACCAUGCGAAGAAGCUCACGGUGUCAUCAAGCGGCGGGGCGACUAGACGGCACCAGGAGAGAAUCUCGUGCCAGGUGAUGCGAGAAAACACGCAGCCGGCGAGAAGGUGGUCGAUCGACUCCACCUCCUGGUCGCAGAGAAUGCAGGUAGGGUCGGUGGAUAGGCCGCGGCGCACACGCCGCUCUGCGGUCCAGCAUCGGUCGAGGUAAGCAAGCUAGAGGAAGACCUUGUUGUUAAGAGGGGCCCAGCUUUUCCAGAGAAGUUUCCAGCACGGCGGCGCGGUGAAGCCGUGGAACAGCGCGCGAUAGCAAGAGCUGGCGGUGUAGGAUCCGUUGGUUGUCCAGUUCCAGGUGAGGCGAUCGGGCUCAUCAGAGAGGACGACCAGCUGUAGCUUGCGCCACAAGCUUACGUACUCGAUGACUGCCUGGGGCCCGAGGGUGCCGUGGAUAUCCCCAAUCCACACACCAUUGGCGAGCCCAUCGCGGACCAGAGUGCAGCGGCGCCGGCGACGCGGUACAAGGGCGGUGAGGGUGGGGGCGAGCUCGGGAAUGGAAUAGCCAUCAAGUCAGUCUAAGCAUGAAAAUGAGCUAAACUAUGAUUCAUAGUUUUGAAAACAAAGAAAUGCCUUUUUCAAAACUGCUCUUAAACUAUGGGGAUUCUAAGAAAAUGUUCUGCAUGAGAAGUGAUGGCAUUAUCCAAGCUUGCCAACGCUUCUGACAAAAUACGCGUUAGUUCAAUGAUUGGGAUUAAUAUUUUGUUAACUACAUCAAACUGAUAGUGUUUGUGUAGUUCAAGGACGUCAUCAGGCGAAAGCUCCAUUGCACGCCAUGGGACUGAUGAUCGGGUGAGGAGGGAGUUGGCUCAAAUCGGUUCGGCAGUCGCUGACUGUGGGAGAGGUGGCGGAUGACGUAUAGAUGACGUAUGAUACCGAUCGGAUCCAGCGGAGCGACCUCCAUCCACACAUGGCCGGCAAUCAUCAUCCGUGAUUGAUUGGAUACAGGUGAGAUGCAAUGAUCGAAUACACCAGGCACGACCAGAAACAAUCAAAGGUCAAAAAAUGUGCUUCAUAUAUAGACCUUCAAAAGAAGUAACAUAAAGAGAAGUGCAGAAAAAACAAUAGGACCAUGGGCAAUGUAACCAAGAAUUUCCUCUUUUGCGUCUAUGUUCCAUGACCGUAAUCAUACAAAACUAAACCAGGUUCCGCAGUAAAAGUGGGAACCAACUUAAACCCUGCUCUCCAACCAUAUACUCAAACUCAUCACCACAGGGUGAUACAACUACUCUUUCGCUAGACAGACGUGUAACAAUCUCCAAACAGAGUGGAAACGACUGACAAGACAAAAACUUGAACAUACAACAAAACCAACGAAUAGACCAGCAUGGGACUCCCAAAACCCAGUUGCUUUUGAUGUUUAUAAGGUGUGCUCCAUACUCUUUCGACAAGUUAAUACAGCACAGAAACACUUCUGACAAAAACCGACACAACCAACAACCGUGAAAACCCUAUCUUUCAAGGUUCUUUUUACCUCACACAGAUAUAUCAAUAUAAUUUUGGUUCAAGCUAUAUUAGGAGGCAAAACCCGACUCUCCCGACAACACAUGCGGCUCUGGACGUCCUCUGGUGAGGCAGAACCCAAAUGAUCCGACCGGUUGACCUUGAAGACUGACCAUUGACCAAGCUGCACCACCGACGAUGCAGCCCAAGGACUGACCCUGCUUAGACUGACUUGACGACUGCUUGAGACCAGACCGACAGGACCCAACAAUGACUCGAACGACAAAGACC
rnacentral:lncRNA from 1 species